rnacentral:misc_RNA from 1 species
GAAAAAGAAUAACAGAAAAAGAAUAUAAUAAAAUAGCUAUGUAUUGUCUAUCAACAUAAAUUUGCUUCCAAGAAGCUGCAAGCACAUUCACCAAGCCCAGCAUGAUGAUACAAGGAAAAACUGUGCACUGUGCGGCAAUCUAGCCAUGAACUGACAUAUUUAGUAACAACACCACAGCUACACAAUUAAGCCUUAACUUUAAA